rnacentral:antisense_RNA from 2 species
CGUUAUGGCGGCAGUACGUGGGGCACCUCGUGUGCGCCGAGUCUCCGGAGUCCUCGGUCUGUCAACCCGCGUACCGCUGCCACCCUC